UACGAAGGGGGCUAGCGUUGUUCGGAAUCACUGGGCGUAAAGGGCGCGUAGGCGGCUUUGUAAGUCGGGGGUGAAAGCCUGUGGCUCAACCACAGAAUUGCCUUCGAUACUGCAUGGCUUGAGACCGGAAGAGGUUAGUGGAACUGCGAGUGUAGAGGUGAAAUUCGUAGAUAUUCGCAAGAACACCAGUGGCGAAGGCGGCUGACUGGUCCGGUUCUGACGCUGAGGCGCGAAAGCGUGGGGAGCAAACAGGG
rnacentral:rRNA from 1 species